AUAAUUGAGCACGUGUGAUCAAAUUGUUAUGAGUAUUUGUUUCAGUUAACACCAGGGGUGAAUUCGUUCUACUACUUCAUUUUCGCUAAAUUCAUCUCGCCUUCAUCCUACUCGUGGUAGGAGAUGGAGAUGACCAAUCAGUCUCUUCUCACACGCGAUCGCGAUUGUACAUGCAGUUGACCGGACAUCUACAACAGUGUUUUGUUACAAGGAACAAUGGACUAAAAAUUAAAAUUGUGCUACUAUAACAGUGAACAAAAAGAAUAUGGCAAGUUAACAAAUGGUGAUACUAGCUCGGAUUUUACAAGAUAAGUAUUACUUUAUGUAUCUACUAUGCGUUAAGCUGGACGAAACUAUUUAUUUUCAGGUUUGUUCGACCAGGUGGCCUCCUGGUCUUAUCAGGCGUGAUCUACUAUGGAGUUCCUAUUCGUAUGGUUGAGCUUUCUGUGCACCUUGAAAGCGAUCAUUAUGAUUUUUUUACGCCUGUGGAACAACCCUGAGAACGAUCCCAUUUCAUCGAUAAUUAAUUACUCUAUAUGGUUCAAAAUAAUUCAGCACACAACUUCAUCUUUUCUCGAGCAAGAGAGCUUUCUCUCUGCUCUAUGACUCGGACAAUGAUUGUACCAACCAACCAUCACUAUCUGACCACUAUCCAAAGGACAGUUCAUUCGAUCGAGGUACUUUGAUGACCGGAGACAGAGAAGCUGAUCUGUGUUGCAACAAAUUCGUGCUCUAAUAAUGCACUUGUUUACAAGGUAUCGUUUACCCUCAUUGGCGAGAAUCCGAAUCAUCUGGACGAAGGUCUGCAGCUGAGAAUACGCCAAGAUGCUUGCCAUUCUCGUCUGCCAACUCAUAGGAGCUCGUUCCUCGCCUCGCUACGACGACACACGGAAUGUAGACUGGCCCAUACUUGGCGUUGUACUUCUCGACGGCGGAAGACAAUCGGAAAUUGCGCUUGUACACCCGCUGUCCUACUUGGUAA